GCAAGUCGAGGGGUAACAUUUGUGCUUGCACAAGAUGACGACCGGCGCACGGGUGCGCAACGCGGAUGGAACCUGCCCUGUACAGGGGAAUAGCCCAGAGCAAUUUUGAUUAAUGCCCCGUGGCACCAUGAUACGGCAUCGUAUCUUGGUUAAAGCCUUCGGGCGGUACAGGAUGGCCAUGCGUACCAUUAGCUCGUUGGUGGGGUAACGGCCCACCAAGGCUACGAUGUUUAGGGGCCCUGAGAGGGGGAUC
rnacentral:rRNA from 1 species